rnacentral:rRNA from 8 species
CCAACAGGGAUUGCCUCAGUAACGGCGAGUGAAGCGGCAACAGCUCAAAUUUGAAAGCUGGCUCUUUCAGGGCCCGCAUUGUAAUUUGUAGAGGAUGCUUCGGGUGCGGCGCUGGUCUAAGUUCUUUGGAACAAGACGUCAUAGAGGGUGAGAAUCCCGUAUGUGACUAGCUGCCUGUGCCUGUGUGAAGCUCCUUCGACGAGUCGAGUUGUUUGGGAAUGCAGCUCAAAAUGGGUGGUGUACUUCAUCUAAAGCUAAAUAUUGGCCAGAGACCGAUAGCGCACAAGUAGAGUGAUCGAAAGAUGAAAAGCACUUUGGAAAGAGAGUUAAACAGUACGUGAAAUUGUUGAAAGGGAAGCGCUUGCAAUCAGACUUGCGCGGCGUCGAUCAACCUGGGUUCUCCCUGGUGCACUCGGCGCUGCUCAGGCCAGCAUCAGUUUCAGCGGUUGGAUAAAGGCCUAGGGAACGUGGGUUACUUCGGUGACUGUUAUAGCCCUAGGUGCAAUGCAGCCUGCUGGGACUGAGGACCGCGCUUCGGCUAGGAUGCUGGCGUAAUGGUUGUAAGCGACCCGUCUUGAAACACGGACCAAGGAGUCUAACAUCUAUGCGAGUUUUUGGGUGUUAAACCCAUAAGCGUAAUGAAAGUGAACGGAGGUGAGAACCCUUAAGGGUGCAUCAUCGACCGAUCCUGAUGUCUUCGGAUGGAUUUGAGUAAGAGCAUAGCUGUUGGGACCCGAAAGAUGAUGAUCUAUACCUGAAUAGGGUGAAGCCAGAGGAAACUCUGGUGGAGGCUCGCAGCGGUUCUGACGUGCAAAUCGAUCGUCAAAUUUGGGUAUAGGGGCGAAAGACUAAUCGAA